rnacentral:rRNA from 1 species
CCUACGGGAGGCAGCAGUGAGGAAUAUUGGACAAUGGGCGCAAGCCUGAUCCAGCCAUGCCGCGUGCAGGAAGAAGCAUCUAUGGUGUGUAAACUGCUUUUGUACAGGAAGAAACACUCCCUCGUGAGGGAGCUUGACGGUACUGUAAGAAUAAGGACCGGCUAACUCCGUGCCAGCAGCCGCGGUAAUACGGAGGGUCCGAGCGUUAUCCGGAAUCAUUGGGUUUAAAGGGUCCGUAGGCGGUUUAAUAAGUCAGUGGUGAAAUCUGGUCGCUCAACGAUCAAACGGCCAUUGAUACUGUUAGACUUGAAUUAUAAGGAAGUAACUAGAAUAUGUAGUGUAGCGGUGAAAUGCUUAGAUAUUACAUGGAAUACCAAUUGCGAAGGCAGGUUACUACUUAUGGAUUGACGCUGAUGGACGAAAGCGUGGGGAGCGAACAGGAUUAGAUACCCUGGUAGUCCACGCCGUAAACGAUGGAUACUAGCUGUUCGGAGCAAUCUGAGUGGCUAAGCGAAAGUGAUAAGUAUCCCACCUGGGGAGUACGUUGCAAGAAUGAAACUCAAAGGAAUUGACGG